AUUGAACGCUGGCGGCAUGCCUUACACAUGCAAGUCGAGCGGGGGAAGGUAGCUUGCUACUGGACCUAGCGGCGGACGGGUGAGUAAUGCUUAGGAAUCUGCCUAUUAGUGGGGGACAACAUUUCGAAAGGAAUGCUAAUACCGCAUACGUCCUACGGGAGAAAGCAGGGGAUCUUCGGACCUUGCGCUAAUAGAUGAGCCUAAGUCGGAUUAGCUAGUUGGUGGGGUAAAGGCCUACCAAGGCGACGAUCUGUAGCGGGUCUGAGAGGAUGAUCCGCCACACUGGGACUGAGACACGGCCCAGACUCCUACGGGAGGCAGCAGUGGGGAAUAUUGGACAAUGGGCGCAAGCCUGAUCCAGCCAUGCCGCGUGUGUGAAGAAGGCCUUAUGGUUGUAAAGCACUUUAAGCGAGGAGGAGGCUACUUUAGUUAAUACCUAGAGAUAGUGGACGUUACUCGCAGAAUAAGCACCGGCUAACUCUGUGCCAGCAGCCGCAGUAACAC
rnacentral:rRNA from 1 species